rnacentral:rRNA from 1 species
AGUGAACGCUGGCGGCAUGCCUAACACAUGCAAGUCGAGCGGCAGCGCGGGGGCAACCCUGGCGGCGAGCGGCGGACGGGUGAGGAAUUCGUCGGAAUCUGCCUUUUUGUGGGGGAUAACGUAGGGAAACUUACGCUAAUACCGCAUACGUCCUACGGGAGAAAGGGGGGGACCGCAAGGCCUCACGCAGAAAGAUGAGCCGACGACCGAUUAGCUAGUUGGUUGGGUAAAGGCCCACCAAGGCGACGAUCGGUAGCUGGUCUGAGAGGAUGAUCAGCCACACUGGGACUGAGACACGGUCCAGACUCCUACGGGAGGCAGCAGUGGGGAAUAUUCGACAAUGGGCGCAAGCCUGAUCCAGCCAUGCCGCGUGUGUGAAGAAGGCCUUCGGGUUGUAAAGCACUUUUGUCAGGAAAGAAAACCCUGGAGCUAAUACCUUCGGGGGAUGACGGUACCGGAAGAAUAAGCACCGGCUAACUUCGUG